rnacentral:tRNA from 1 species
ACUUAUAUAGUAUAUAUAUAUAUUAUAUUUGACUUCCAAUCAAAAGAACUAAAUUUUAGUAUAAGUA